rnacentral:rRNA from 1 species
GACAGAGGGUGCAAACGUUGUUCGGAAUUACUGGGCGUAAAGCGAGUGUAGGCGGUCCGAUAAGUCGGGUGUGAAAGCCCUGGGCUCAACCCAGGAAGUGCACUCGAAACUGCCGGGCUAGAGUAUCGGAGAGGUUGGUGGAAUUCUCGGUGUAGAGGUGAAAUUCGUAGAUAUCGAGAGGAACACCGGUGGCGAAGGCGGCUACCUGGACGGUGACUGACGCUGAGACGCGAAAGCGUGGGGAGCAAACAGG